AUGAUUUUUUAUUAUUUGUGAACGUACUACGAACAAACAAAAAAUAUUAUAGUCAAAAAAAAUUAAAUCAAAACUUUUAACAAUGGAUCUCUUGGUUCUCGUAUCGAUGAAGAACGCAGCGAAACGCGAUAUUUCUUGUGAAUUGCAGAAGUGAAUCAUCAGUUUUUGAACGCACAUUGCACUUUGGGGUAUCCCCCAAAGUAUACUUGUUUGAGCGUUGUUUCUCUCUUGGAAUUGCAUUUGCUUUUCUAAAAAAUCGAAUCAAAUUCGUUUGAAACUUCAUUUAUUUCAACCUCAGAUCAAGUAGGAUUACCCGCUGAACUUAAGCAUAUCAAUAAGCGGAGGAAUCGUACGCUUGGUCAUUUAGAGGAAGUAAAAGUCGUAACAAGGUUUCCGUAGGUGAACCUGCGGAAGGAUCAUUAGUGAAUAUAGCGCAUCUCUUCGGAGAGCGUGACCUCCACUUUCAACUCUGUGCAUUUUUUGGCGAGGGAACGAGACGAAGCGACGCAAGUUGCAGACUCUCGCCUCUUGCGGCUCAUUUUAAACACUAGUUAAAGUAUGUAACGAAAUAUCGAAACAAAAA
rnacentral:misc_RNA from 1 species